GGUACUAAUAUCCCAUAACAUCAUGAGGGGCAUCCCUUAUGGUUGAAAACUCCGGUGGUUAUGGAUGGGCAUGCGUUGUAUUAGCUGGUUGGUGAGGUAACGGCUCACCAAGGCGACGAUACAUAGGGGGACUGAGAGGUUAACCCCCCACAUUGGUACUGAGACACGGACCAAACUCCUACGGGAGGCAGCAGUGAGGAAUAUUGGUCAAUGGACGCAAGUCUGAACCAGCCAUGCCGCGUGCAGGAUGACGGCUCUAUGAGUUGUAAACUGCUUUUGUACGAGGGUAAACCCGGAUACGUGUAUCCGGCUGAAAGUAUCGUACGAAUAAGGAUCGGCUAACUCCGUGCCAGCAGCCGCGGUAAUACGGAGGAUUCAAGCGUUAUCCGGAUUUAUUGGGUUUAAAGGGUGCGUAGGCGGUUUGAUAAGUUAGAGGUGAAAUACCGGUGCUUAACACCGGAACUGCCUCUAAUACUGUUGAGCUAGAGAGUAGUUGCGGUAGGCGGAAUGUAUGGUGUAGCGGUGAAAUGCUUAGAGAUCAUACAGAACACCGAUUGCGAAGGCAGCUUACCAAACUAUAUCUGACGUUGAGGCACGAAAGCGUGGGGAGCAAACAGGAUUAGAUACCCUGGUAGUCCACGCAGUAAACGAUGAUAACUCGCUGUCGGCGAUACACAGUCGGUGGCUAAGCGAAAGCGAUAAGUUAUCCACCUGGGGAGUACGUUCGCAAGAAUGAA
rnacentral:rRNA from 1 species